CUGGAAUGACAUCACAUGCAAGAAACAACUUUAAUAUGAGCUCUAGCACAUUUGUAUUUCCUCAUUCAUGCAGGUGAAGUAUUAAGAACUGAAUUUAUCAAGUAUAAUUCAGAGACAUUCAGUG